GGAUGUGAGAGCUGCAACAUCUAUCACCCCAUUGAUCCCCAGGGUCUAUUUGGCUGAUCUGACUGGGUGGUCCCCUUCCUCCCUCACUGCUCAUGUGCAUCACUCCAAGAAGCUGCACUCUCUGUGGAAGAGGAGGACGACCUUCCAGAUAGAGAAGGAUCGCUCUUCCAUCAGUGUAUGGGAGUAGCUGCAGUCCCCUGUGGAACCUCUAGACUCUCUCUCAAGGUCCAAAAUGUUGUGGCUACAAGGUAAGAAUCUGAUGGGCAUUUUCUUGGACAAUUUAUUACAGAGUGCAGAGAACAGAGGUGAUGGAAACGAUUAUGUGUUCUUUG
ensembl:misc_RNA 7SK 7SK RNA